rnacentral:lncRNA from 1 species
GAGAGGCUGUGGACCAAGUGCGUCAGUACUGAGAGUGGUAGUGAGGGUCCCAGGCUGGUGCAGCAUGAAGAGUACCACAAGAAAUGCCCACCUGUGAGACCGCUGAGGCCGGGCAGCGCCUAUCCACCUCCCCACCCACUUUUUCUCAGAUCACAGGCCUGGGAUCUUGGUACAGUCCAAAUGGUGGGGAAAGAGCAUGGAGAAUAACAAAUACAGAACACUUCUUGUUGACUUCUUCAGGAGCAUGUUCUUGGGAAUACAAAUGUGGGGGAGUGAAGAGAAGAAAGCAGGAUGAAGCAGAAGGAAAAGAGGAGCUGCAAUCCAGUGCCCAAAGAGCUGUAGAACUGAGAUCACUCUGAAGAACUGUCCCAAACUGGAAGAAGAGGGGCAAGUAAUUAUAAUACCCUAUUGAUAAUCAUUGGAUGAGAGCUUCCCUGGGGAAGGAGGCAUUACUUUGUUCAUGGUGGGUCCCUUAAGCUAACGCAGUUUCAUCACAACGAUGCUCUCAAUCUGGAGUACACACAUCAAGAGAUGGGCAGACCCUUCAGGAGAGGUUUAAUGCAUCCAGUACACAUCGUGGUCGCUCCGCACAUGCUGGUACCCCCUGCUCCAUUAGCAGAAAUUGCUAAUUCUGAAGGUCUCCCCAUUUAAUGUAAUCCACCUCUCCCUCAUUUAAUCACAAAUACAUUCACGCCCUUCCCAGCAGGAGACAACUGAAUAUCACGUUGUGGGCUGUUCUUCAGGUACGUUCAGGUGAUAUCCAUUCCUCUUCUAGGUGCAGGUUCUCAAGGUCUACUAGCCUGUGGGCAAUGGGAGAUUGGUUAAACGAAUUGAGACACACUCAUAUGGUAGAUCAUUAAAACUAAAGUUGUAGAAGAUAAUCAUUAUAAGAGAAAAAGCUUCUGGGAUGUUGUUAAGGGGAAGAAGAUAAUAAAACAAUGUAUACCAUAUAAUUCCACUUCUGGGGAAAAAACAUACAUAUGAGAAAAAUCUGUAAGAAGGUACAUUAAAAUCCAGUAGUUACUUCUGGGGUGGUAGGAUUAUUGGUUAUUCUACUCUUUCUCCUUUUCUUUAAAUAUGUUUUCUAGAUCAGACAAAAAUAAUGUUACUUUUGAAAUACUGAAAAUAUUAUUUUUCCUCUAAAAAUUAUAGAUGUCUUAUGAGGAGUAUGUUUGUGGCUACAUUAGUCAAUUAAUGAUUGCUUGACCACUAGUUGGAGAAAUCAGGAAUGAGACUUUAAGUGGAGCUCGUAUGUUAACAGUGGCGGCUUCAGAGCCUGGAAGAUUUAGGAAAGGACUAGUCUGGGUAAAAGGAGAAGGUUUAGACCUAUGCUGUUCAAGACAGAGGCCACUAGCCACAUGUGACCACUGAGCACUUGAAAUAUGGCUAGUUCAAAUUGAGAUGUGCUUUAAGUGUAAAAAAAAAAUAAGAUUUCAAAGAUUUAGUAUUAAAAAUAUUUUAAAAUCCUCAAAAAUUUUUAAUAUUACAUCUUGAAAUAAUUAUAUUUUGUAUAUAUUGGGUAAAUAAAAUAUAAUAUUAAAAAUGAUUCACAUCUUUGUUUUGUACCGUGCUGAUUUAGAUACUUGUCAGGAAAUGUAAGUUCUCUGAAACACCCCCCAAAGGGAAAAGAAUAUGAAAAAGCAUUUGCCUCACAGGAAACCUGCCAACCUUUCUGUUUUACUUGGUGCUUUAGUAGGACAACCACUGGAAAGGGCAGUUUGUUGUCAAAUGAGCAUGUCAAAUGAACUCCAACCACUGCAAGGCAAAAUGAAACCCACGCUACCUAAAAGGUGUAGAUAUCAGUCCAUGUAAUUGAAAUCUGUCGACUUGGGGGUAAGUUAAAGAAACACCGUGUUGUUGUAGAAGGCCAUUGACAUCUUCUCCUGGUAAAACCCCCAGAGGGUGCUGUCUUAAGGUGUUGGACAGAAACUGCCCCAUGGCAUCUACACACUGGAUGUUGAUUUGAGUUAAACUGAGCAUUUGACAGAAGGAUUCUGACCCAUUCCCUGGAGUGAUUUGGGAAGGUAUUUAUAAAAAGGAAUGAUGUGCUCCAGUGAUUUACAAUAAUGGCAUAUAUUGUUUUGUCUUUGGUUUGUUUCUUGAUUGUAAAUAUUGGUCAGUGUCCAAAAUUAAGAUGCAAUCACUGGUUACCCCAACCUGGGAUGUUUAUUUGGAAAAACACAAAGUGGUUUAAAAUUCAUACAAAUCACUCUAAACCUGGGUACACUCUUUUUCUUUAAAUCUUAGAUUCUGCUGUCAGAUCAAGAGAAAAAGGGAAAGCUUUCAUAUUGCUCAAAAUGAUUUUUUAAAAUUUCCUUCAUUUCUUACUUCCUUCUCAACUCUUUUCCACUCUAAAACAUUCUCAACUCCCUAACUCAUUAAGAUAUUUUAUUCAUAAAGAGAACUUAAAUUAAGAUUUAAAUAAAUAUUUAUUAAACUGUUUUCCAGAUUUACAAAAUCCAGCUGGGUAACUCAUUGAAAAUAAGUACUGUGUAAUCUGUUGUCUAGUAAAAAGGGUUUGAACAGGAUGUUUAGGCCACAUCUCAGCUCCAUCAUUCCUUCUGGUAUCCUGGCAUCACUGGGUAAGUUCACAGUUUAAGGAAGGAAUCUGAGGUGGUAGAACCAGGUGUGCUGGAGAGGCAGCCUAGGUCAGUGGCUAAGAGUGAAAUUCUGGCUUCACCACUUUCUAGCUCUUACAACCUUAGGAAGGUUAUGUAAUUUCAUAUUAUUAUUAUUAUUAAAGCCUUAUGAUAUAGUUAUUAUUAUUAUCUCCAUUUUAAAGAUGAGAAAACACAGAGCACAAAACCAUAAAGACUGUGUCUGGGAUGCAGUAAGUGUUAUGUAAGGGUGUUAAGCAAGUAAGCAUACAAAAUGCAGGACCAAAAGAAGCAACACCAGCCCCCAAACUACACCAUGUGAAUUUCCAAAGAACCAAGUGUUCACACUACAUCAAAACGAGCCUGUUGAAUCUUUUGGACUCUGAGAAAUAAAGCAUAGUUAUUAUCAAAUUAAGAUUUAAAUUCAAUUCCUCAGCUGCGUCUUGAUCACUGGAUACCACUUUAAUAAUCACAUUAUUAAAGAAAGUUCCAAGUUUGGGGUGGAAUACUGCAGAUGAGGAAAGUAGAAAUUACUGCUAUAUUAUGAUCUACACUUUGUCUUAAUAUGAUCUGGCCCAUAUAAAAAUGCUCCAGAACAGUUGCAAAAUAUGGAUAUUUUUCUUUGAAAACCAGCCUUUUGUCUUUAUAACUUACAAAGCCAUUUUUCCCAGUCCACAAAGCUAUUUGGUCACAAAUUUAAGAAACCAGUGAUUCCUGAGAUAUAUGUGCUUUCACACUUCAGGAAAUAAUUUCAAAAUGAUUUUGGCAGUCUACCCAUUUUUAUAAAGAUAAAAAACUAAAAUAUUAUUUUGUCUUAGAAAUAAGUAUUAAUAGAGACAUUAUUAUAUCUUUGCCCCUAGAGCUUUAGAAGCAAAGAUUUGUCUUUCUCUUCCUCUCUCUCUCACUCUUCCCUAUUUCCUCCUUCCUGGUGAGUCUUACUUCUGUAUACUAGAGUAAUUAUAUCUAUUUUUUUGAAUGCUUUUGUAUGUAUAUUAUAAAGUGUUUCCUUUCUUGUUCUCAAUUCAAAUGGAAUACUGAACUGUGCUCUCUGUAUACUAAGUUAACUGGGGCCUGUCGGGGGGGUGGGGGGAGGGGGGAGGGAUAGCAUUAGGAGGAAAACCUAAUGUAAAUGAUGAGUUAAUGGGUCCAGCAAACCAACAUGGCACAUGUAUACAUAUGUAACAAACCUGCACGUUGUGCACAUGUACCCUAGAACUUAAAGUAUAAUAAAAAAAAAAAUUUAAAAAAAAA